GCGCGCCAAAAUCCUGCGACCUGUACUGAGGGCCCUCGCGAGUCGUCUGCGCUCUGCAAACUCGUCUCCGCGUCUGACUUGCAUGCUAAUAUUUCAAGAUUGGCAAAGAACACACGACAUUGUGGAGAGGUGGUUAUUAUCAUCAGCCCCAUUUUACAGACAAUGAAAACGAAGGUGCUGCAAAUUCUUCAACGAGAACUACGCACUCCAUAUAUGCAUCCCCAGAGAACCUUUCAGGCUACUCAACAUGGAUAUCACAUUUUGUGGAAGAAGAUAUGAGGAUCCAGUUUUAUGUGAAAGACAUUAAACAGACUCACAAAAGUAAAGAAU